rfam:Hordeum vulgare subsp. vulgare, WGS project CAJW01000000 data, contig: morex_contig_1799052
AGAUGCAAUCAUACCAGCACUAAAGCAUCGGAUCCCAUUAGAACUCCAAAGUCAAGCAUGCUUAGGCGAGAGUAGUACUAGGAUGGGUGACCUCCUGAGAAGUCCUCGUGUUGCAUUCC